AUUGAACGCUGGCGGAAUGCUUUACACAUGCAAGUCGAGCGGCAGCACGGGGGCAACCCUGGUGGCGAGCGGCGAACGGGUGAGUAAUACAUCGGAACAUGCCCAGUCGUGGGGGAUAACACUUCGAAAGAAGUGCUAAUACCGCAUACGUCCUGAGGGAGAAAGCGGGGGAUCGCAAGACCUCGCGCGAUUGGAGUGGCCGAUGUCAGAUUAGCUAGUUGGUGGGGUAAAGGCCUACCAAGGCAACGAUCUGUAGCUGGUCUGAGAGGAUGAUCAGCCACACUGGGACUGAGACACGGCCCAGACUCCUACGGGAGGCAGCAGUGGGGAAUUUUGGACAAUGGGGGCAACCCUGAUCCAGCCAUUCCGCGUGAGUGAAGAAGGCCUCGGUUGUAAGCGUCUUCUAGUCAGGAACGAAACGGAC
rnacentral:rRNA from 1 species